rnacentral:rRNA from 1 species
GUGCCAGCCGCCGCGGUAAUACGUAGGGAGCAAGCGUUGUCCGGAAUUACUGGGCGUAAAGGGUGCGUAGGCGGCUAGGCAAGUCAGAUGUGAAAUCCCCGGGCUUAACUCGGGUGGUGCAUUUGAAACUGCUUAGCUUGAGUGCAGGAGAGGAAAGCGGAAUUCCUAGUGUAGCGGUGAAAUGCGUAGAUAUUAGGAGGAACACCAGUGGCGAAGGCGGCUUUCUGGACUGUAACUGACGCUGAGGCACGAAAGCGUGGGGAGCAAACAGGAUUAGAAACCCGCGUAGUCC